UGCGGGACGCGCCGCCGCUGCCCUGGCUGUCCCCGCGGCCGCCCCGCCCUCCCGCGCGGGGCACGCCGGGAUGUGUAGUCCGGAGCCGCGGAGGCAGCGGUGGCCUCGCUGCCGCCCGACUACAACCCCCAGCGUGCCCCGCGCGGGGGGCGGAGCCAGCCGCCGGCCGCAGCCGGUGCCCGCGCUGAUUGGUCUGCUCCAUCGCACGAGGAUGAGCCCAAGGAGCUCUGCCUUGUGGCCGCUAAUCCCCCGCCCCAGGCCGCCGGGAGGCAGCGGGUCCCUUCGCCUCCUCCCCAGCCCCAUCUGCAGCCGCUGCCCGAGCAGCCCGGCCCUGCAGAUGGUGGGUAAAUAAAUCACGGCUGGGCAUGAGGCACAUGGGCUGGAAUUAUCGUAUAUUUCCAAGAAAAUGCUCUUUUGGCUUCCGGCAGCCUCGGCGCGCGCUGCAGAGGGCUCUGGUGGCCGGGCAGGGCCAGGCUGGGUGCUGGCGGCACAGCUGGGGCUGGGGGCCGUUAAUCAGGCUGGCUUCGGUGUAAUCUGAAAUAAUCAAAUUAGAAAGAAACCGCUAAUCAGCUCUGAUCUCA